rnacentral:rRNA from 1 species
CCUACGGGAGGCAGCAGUAGGGAAUAUUGCUCAAUGGGGGAAACCCUGAAGCAGCAACGCCGCGUGGAGGAUGAAGGUUUUCGGAUUGUAAACUCCUUUUGUUAGAGAAGAUAAUGACGGUAUCUAACGAAUAAGCACCGGCUAAAUCCGUGCCAGCAGCCGCGGUAAUACGGAGGGUGCAAGCGUUACUCGGAAUCACUGGGCGUAAAGAGCGCGGAGGCGGGAUAGCAAGUCAGAUGUGAAAUCCUAUGGCUUAACCAUAGAACUGCAUUUGAAACUGUUAUUCUAGAGUAUGGGAGAGGUAGGUGGAAUUCUUGGUGUAGGGGUGAAAUGCGUAGAGAUCAAGAGGAAUACUCAUUGCGAAGGCGACCUGCUAGAACAUAACUGACGCUGAUGCGCGAAAGCGUGGGGAGCAAACAGGAUUAGAUACCCGUGUAGUC